UGGGGAAUCUUGCACAAUGGGGGCAACCCUGAUGCAGCGACGCCGCGUGAGCGAUGAAGGUUUUCGAAUCGUAAAGCUCUGUCCUAUGGGAAGAUAAUGACGGUACCAUAGGAGGAAGCCCCGGCUAACUACGUGCCAGCAGCCGCGGUAAUACGUAGGGGGCGAGCGUUGUCCGGAAUUACUGGGCGUAAAGGGUUCGCAGGCGGCAUGGCAAGUCCGAUGUAAAAGGCGAAGGCUUAACCUUCGUAAGCAUCGGAAACUGUCAAGCUUGAGUGAAGGAGAGGCAAGUGGAAUUCCUAGUGUAGCGGUGGAAUGCGUAGAUAUUAGGAGGAAUACCGGUGGCGAAAGCGGCUCUCUGGUCUGUAACUGACGCGGAGGCUCGAAAGCGUGGGGAGCGAACAGG
rnacentral:rRNA from 1 species